GUGCCAGCAGCCGCGGUAAUACGAAGGGGGCUAGCGUUGCUCGGAAUUACUGGGCGUAAAGGGCGCGUAGGCGGCUGUGUUAGUCAGGCGUGAAAUUCCUGGGCUCAACCUGGGGACUGCGCUUGAUACGGCAUGGCUAGAGUGUGGAAGAGGGUCGUGGAAUUCCCAGUGUAGAGGUGAAAUUCGUAGAUAUUGGGAAGAACACCGGUGGCGAAGGCGGCGACCUGGUCCAUUACUGACGCUGAGGCGCGACAGCGUGGGGAGCAAACAGGAUUAGAUACCCUGGUAGUCC
rnacentral:rRNA from 1 species